CACAGAGGGUGCGAGCGUUAAUCGGAUUUACUGGGCGUAAAGCGUGCGCAGGCGGUUCGGUAAGUGGGAUGUGAAAGCCCUGGGCUCAACCUGGGAACUGCAUUCCAAACUGCUGAGCUAGAGUGUGGUAGAGGGAGGUAGAAUUUCCUGUGUAGCGGUGAAAUGCGUAGAUAUAGGAAGGAAUACCAGUGGUGAAGGCGGCCUUUUGGAUCAACACUGAUGUUGAGGUGUGAAAGUGUGGGGAGCAAACAGG
rnacentral:rRNA from 1 species